UUACAGAAACAUGGCAAAGCUAGUACAGAGAGUUUGCAUAUACCCCACACCCAGUUUAAUUUUGACAUCUUGCGUUAGUGUGGGUCUAUAUUUGUCCCAGUUAAUGAACCAGUAUUGAUACAUGAUUAUUUGCUAAAGUCCAUGCUUUCUUCAGAUUUCCUUAGUUUUUACAUAAUGCCGUUUCUGUUGGAGGAUCCCAUCUAGGUUACCCCAUCACGUCUCAUCAUCGUCAUGCCUCCUUAGGUGAGACAACUUCUCAGACAGAUGCUUCCUGUGUUUGACACCUUGACGGUUUUGAGGAGUGUCAGUCAGGGUGCUUACUGCCUGCGGGACUUACCACUCUCCAUUACCUGGCUGAGGUGUGCCAGAUUUUUCCACCAUGAGAUUCUUCUUCUUGCUCGUUUCCAUGCCGUAGUCCCAAGAAGGAAGUCACCACCUACAGCCCACACUUAGCCAGUGGGGAGUGACACUUCACCUCCAUGAGGGCUGAGCAGCUACGUUGAUGCUGCUGAUGUCAACAAAGAGAAAACAGAACUGUUCAGCUCAAAUUAUACUUUGUUCAUUAUCAAG